rnacentral:rRNA from 1 species
UACGUAGGGUGCGAGCGUUGUCCGGAAUUAUUGGGCGUAAAGGGCUCGUAGGCGGUUUGUCGCGUCGGGAGUGAAAACCUUGGGCUUAACUCAGGGCUUGCUUUCGAUACGGGCAGACUAGAGGUAUGCAGGGGAGAACGGAAUUCCUGGUGUAGCGGUGAAAUGCGCAGAUAUCAGGAGGAACAUCGGUGGCGAAGGCGGCAUCCUGGACCGGUAUUGACGCUGAGGCGCGAAAGCCAGGGGAGCAAACGGG